GUUGUUUUAUUGUCACUGUUGUGUGUAACCUCCGUCUUUUUCCCAGUGUUGUUGUUUUCUUUCCUUCUCAGUUUCCAGCCGUCUCGAGUAGAGUCCACAUCCGACCCAGCCUUUUCGCCUAAAUCCCCGGAACGGGCUGGUGGCUUGCCCGCUGCUGCGCUGCUCUUUUUUCUCCCCUCCCUCUCCCAUUCCUCUCCAGUCACCGAGCAGACACAGCCAAGUGAACGCAGAGCGGCACCGGUUCAAUCCAUGACAUCUUCAAUCAGUGCUCUGAGAAAUGGGACUUGUAUCCUAAUUGAUAUAUUACACGUGAUAGUGUUCCCAUGCUUAAAAUACAUCUUCAUAAUGUUUUUUUCGAAUAGGCUCUGUGGAAAACAGAGACAAGCAGCAGAGACAUUUAUCAAAACAGGGCUUUUAGAAACGUGGACUGAUUGCUUUUUCUUGAUAUAUUCUCUUUAUAUGGAACAGUACAUUUGGACAUUUUUGAUCAGUUGCUUUGAAGCAAUCUACCAUACUGUCACUAUUUUUGGUUGUAUGAUAAGUAAUGGGGAAAACAAUGAGUCUACAUUAGUGGUUCCCAACCUGUUUCCUUAAGGGACCCCUUUUCUAUCAUUGAGUGAAUUGACGACCCUUGACUAAAUGACAUAUUUUAUGGAUAUUUCAAAUUAUCUUCAAUGCACAGCAAUAACAGUAGAGAACAACUGAUAAUCUGUACAAUUAACCCAAAUAGUGAACUGCAAUAACUGCAGGAAGUUUAUGUAAAACGAAUUUUGAGCAGAUUAUUUACUGGGAAUAUUGCAUCCGAGAUGAGUUUUACAAUUGUCUCUCUGUCUGUUUUGUGUUUUUUAAAUUGCAACAAUCAUCCAAACUUAGUAAGCUUCUUUUAUGACAAAUCUAGUGUUUUCCUCUCCCUGACGGUUGGUCAUUUAUCAAUUGGUUGUUUUAACUGUUAACGGUAACUAUUUUUCUAAUGCAGGAAGUGGCUGUUUCGCAGAGAGGAAAGGCUCUGUGAACAUGUUUUAGAUUUUCAUGUGAAGACCAUUGCAUGCCAGAAGGCAAGACUGUAUGAGACCUGUAAACUGUGAUCAACCAUCUUUUACUUGUUUUGUUUUUUUAAUAUUAUUAAAUGUCCCACACAACCAUUGACUUGUAACAGGUUGUUGUGAGUUGGCUGUAUGUUAAUCUACUUGUAAAAAAUGUAAUUCAGAAUGCAAUAUCUUUCUUUACUUAAUCCUAUGAUGGCUAAGUAACAUUUUCGUUUACUUUUUCAAGGCUUUUUGUGGACCAAAUUGUUUGUGAGAAGGCUAUAUGGGAUAACAAUAUAAUGAGAAAUUGUAUUUUUCAAUUAAAGCAUGUCAAA